rnacentral:rRNA from 1 species
GGGGGGAACGGGUGGCUUACCAUGCAAGUCGAGCGGAGCGGUCUUGAUGAAGUUUUCGGAUGGAAUCAGGAUUCUCUUAACGGCGGACGGGUGAGUAACACGUGGAUAACCUGCCCUAUACUGGGGGAUAACAGCCAGAAAUGGCUGCUAAUACCGCAUAAGCGCACGGCGCCGCAUGGCGCAGUGUGAACCACUCCGGUGGUAUAAGAUGGAUCCGCGCCUGAUUAGCUAGUUGGCGGGGCAGCGGCCCACCAAGGCGACGAUCAGUAGCCGGCCUGAGAGGGCGAUCGGCCACAUUGGGACUGAGACACGGCCCAAACUCCUACGGGAGGCAGCAGUGGGGAAUAUUGCACAAUGGGGGGAACCCUGAUGCAGCGACGCCGCGUGAGUGAAGAAGUAUUUCGGUAUGUAAAGCUCUAUCAGCAGGGAAGAAGAUGACGGUACCUGACUAAGAAGCCCCGGCUAACUACGUGCCAGCAGCCGCGGUAAUACGUAGGGGGCAAGCGUUAUCCGGAUUUACUGGGUGUAAAGGGAGCGUAGACGGCAGGGCAAGUCUGGAGUGAAAGCCCGGGGCCCAACCCCGGGACUGCUUUGGAAACUGCCAUGCUGGAGUGCUGGAGAGGUAAGCGGAAUUCCUAGUGUAGCGAUGAAAUGCGUAAAUAUUAGGAGGAACACCAAUGGCGAAAGCGGCUUACUGGAUAGUAACUGACGUUGAGGCUCGAAAGCUUGGUGAGCAACUAGAUUAAAUACCCUGGUAUUCCACGCCUUAAAUGAAGAAUGCUAGGUGUCGGUGGGCAAAGCCCAUCGUCGCCUCCCCACACGCAGUAAUCAUUCCUCCCGGGGGAGCACUUUUGCCCGAAUGAAACUUCCAUGGAUUUGUUUGGGACCUUUUUAACCCGC